UUGAAGUUGAACUGGGAAGGCAUCCCCUCAGCCACUGGUGAUCUGGGGUAAACCAAAAUGGCAAAUGGCGCUUGAGGUCCAAAAGAGGAAUAAAUGAGGGCUGGGAAGGGGGCGGGAGGAUGCUGGUGCUACAGCUGCUGGACGGGGAUGAGCACCCAAGCGUGGGUAACAUGGCGGGUCGAUGGGAAGUGCAAAGGGGACAGGGGCUAACGGCCCCAGGUGGAUGGAGGCCUUGGAGGCUCACCGGGAGGGCGGGGGGUGAGCAGCCCCUGCGGGUUUUGGCAGGGAAAAGGCCUGACAGGGUGCCGAGAGGGCUCCUGCCGUGCCCACCGGGGCAGGGGGCCACCCUAGCGCUGUGGCCCCACGGGUGACCCGUGAGGAGCCGAUGCCGCGGGCGCUCCGGACCGCCGAGGAGGCUCCGGGCUUCGGGGAGAGCACCCAGCACCGCCCCGGCUGUUAACACAGGCUGAGGCGGCGGCGCGGCCGCGGGCGGGGCCCUGAGGUACCUGAGGCGCCGGCGCCCGCAGCGCGGCCAAUCUCCGGCGGGGCGCGGGCGGCGCCUGCCCCGGGGCGCCCGUAGCGCGGCGGCGGUUGUGGGGAGCCGCGUCCCGGAGGCGCUGCGCCCUGCCCUGCCCGGCCCCGCUCCGCUCCGCUCCAUGGAGGCGGCCAACGGGGCUCUGCCCGAAGGCGCGGCGGGGGGCUCCCGCGACAACGCGGCCGCCCCGUCGGGCAAGAAGGAGGUGAAGGUGGUGAUCGUGGGGGACGGCGGCUGCGGGAAGACGUCGCUGCUGAUGGUGUACGCCAAGGGAGACUUCCCGGAGCAAUACGCGCCGUCCGUCUUCGAGAAAUAUACUACCAGCGUUACGGUGGGCAAAAAGGAGGUCACCCUGAAUUUGUACGAUACGGCAGGGCAGGAGGACUACGAUCGGCUACGACCACUUUCAUACCAGAACACAAACGUCGUGUUAAUUUGUUACGAUGUCAUGAACCCCACUAGCUAUGAUAAUGUAGCAGCUAAGUGGUAUCCUGAAGUGAAUCACUUCUGCCGAGGUGUCCCGCUUGUACUGAUUGGCUGCAAGACAGACCUUCGGAAAGACAAAGAACAGUUGCGCAAACUCAGGGCUUCUAAGCAGGAACCCAUUACUUACAACCAGAGCAAGAACAGCAGCUUUCGAACUGUGUGAGACACAAGUCCGGGGAACAAGAUUAAAUGCACUAAGACCAUGACUGAAUCACUACUUUAUCUAAAUGUCAUGAAAAGAAACUGCAACUGUAUCACCACUAAACCACGCUGGGACUUCUACCUUGUCUUCCUUGCACGCAAGAUGAGAUGUUCGUCCUGUCACUUUGUGAACAGCUGCAGAUUGUCCCUCAUUUGCAUUUAUAACUCCCUUCAUCACCCUCCCAUAUGAGGUUCAGGGCAAGUAACAGACACUUUUGAUGAGUCUGCUGAGGCCUCACGCAAUUAAAUUUCAGGGCCCACAUGAUGUACAAACUUUGUCUCCUAUGUGAGCCCUCCCGCUUGGUUUUUCUCCCCUUAAAUAUACACUACCUCAGUCUUUUACAGCUGAUGGCAUCUUGAGUCACACGACGUGAUGCUUCCAAUGCCAGGCACAGAGGAGCUGAACAGUAUCUGCCAGCACUGCAGCUUGCAAACAACUGGAAGGAGACAAACUUCGCUUAAAUGUGCUGAAGAAAAAUCCCCCUAUAGAAGCCUGAGUGCUCAAGUGACCCCACUCCCAGGGUUUAUAAUGAAUAAAUGCAGAGUUUGUGAGGUGUGUGUUGCAGACCUGGAAUUCACACUCCAAGGCUCACAAGCAUUCAAAACUGGGGGCUGACUCUGCCAUGACAAGAAAAGGAUCACAAGCAAAGGUGAAGCAGCUUGUCAGCAGAUUAAUGCAGAAGUUUAUCUGGAGUGCUCAGCAAAAUGUCGUGAAAACAUAGAAAAUGUUUUUAAAGAAGCAACAACCAUUGCACUGAAUGCCAUGAAAAAAGCCAAGCGCCAAAAGAAACGGACAGUGUGCUCAGUGUUAUGAUCUGGACUGCAAGAAGGCACGGACUGCAAGAGAGCAUUGACUGCAAGAGCGCCAGGCGAUUCAGAUUUUAAAACAGUGUAACUUUAAAGACCAUUUUUUUUCAUUACAUGUUUGUAUUCCUAGAACAAUUUUUAUUUUAAUUAUUUUUAUUAUUUUUGCACUUCUUUGCACUGCUCUCACAAGUUUUCAAAGCUCUUUAUCAAGGUUAACUGAUGCUGCAUGCCUUUGUCCAUCUGGCUUUUGCUCCCAACUGCAAAUGACCACCAGUCACGUCUUGGACUCACUAUUUAAACUGCAAUGAACAGCGACUGCUACUAUAUGACUUACUUAGUGUGGCUUUCCUCUGCAAAAUAAUUGUGGCAUGUUACAGCUACAGUUUACUUUUUCAAGCAGAAAAGCCACAUCUUUUAGAAGACGUGAUGUUAGAGCAGCUUAUCAGGCGCCUUUGAAGAGACAGAAAUGAAGUUCUGUCUUAAUGUUUUCAAAGUUACUUGGUGGCAGUGGUAUGAGCUAGCCUCAAGCUGCCCCCAGAGUGCGCAGACAGAGCACCCACUACUCGCCCUGUACCACUGUGCCAGCUUUGCAGAGCUACACCUUUAGAGGUCUCCUUGCAAGGCCUGCUGCUGUAAUAGAAACCGGUAUUUAUCAACGGAAAUACAUCGGUUGCUCCAAUUCAGAAAUGGCAUAUCAUGGUAAAUAUUUAAUUUACAGCACUCAAAGUACUCCAAGGAGCUACUAUGUGUAAUGUAAAGUCAGUUUUACAAUAAACUUACAUAGCUUAUUUAAUACAUGACAGAUGCAAGUAUUGGUGCAUGCUAGUGGAAAUACUUAACUCAUGCAUUAACUGAUGAAGUCAUCUCUACUGCUACAAAUUAAAAUUUUCCCUUUUGUGA